rnacentral:rRNA from 1 species
AGUGAACGCUGGCGGUAGGCCUAACACAUGCAAGUCGAACGGCAGCACAGGAGAGCUUGCUCUCUGGGUGGCGAGUGGCGGACGGGUGAGGAAUACGUCGGAAUCUACUCUGUCGUGGGGGAUAACGUAGGGAAACUUACGCUAAUACCGCAUACGACCUACGGGUGAAAGCAGGGGAUCUUCGGACCUUGCGCGAUUGAAUGAGCCGAUGUCGGAUUAGCUAGUUGGCGGGGUAAAGGCCCACCAAGGCGACGAUCCGUAGCUGGUCUGAGAGGAUGAUCAGCCACACUGGAACUGAGACGCGGUCCAGACUCCUACGGGAGGCAGCAGUGGGGAAUAUUGGACAAUGGGCGCAAGCCUGAUCCAGCCAUACCGCGUGGGUGAAGAAGGCCUUCGGGUUGUAAAGCCCUUUUGUUGGGAAACAAAUCCAGCUGGCUAAUACCCGGUUGGGAUGACGGUACCCAAAGAAUAAGCACCGGCUAACUUCGUGCCAGCCGCCGCCGUAA